GACGAACGCUGGCGGCGUGCUUAACACAUGCAAGUCGAACGGAAAGGCCUCUUUCGGGGGGUACUCGAGUGGCGAACGGGUGAGUAACACGUGAGUAACCUGCCCUUGACUUUGGGAUAACUUCAGGAAACUGGGGCUAAUACCGGAUAGGAGCUCCUGCUGCAUGGUGGGGGUUGGAAAGUUUCGGCGGUUGGGGAUGGACUCGCGGCUUAUCAGCUUGUUGGUGGGGUAGUGGCUUACCAAGGCUUUGACGGGUAGCCGGCCUGAGAGGGUGACCGGCCACAUUGGGACUGAGAUACGGCCCAGACUCCUACGGGAGGCAGCAGUGGGGAAUAUUGCACAAUGGGUUGAAGCCUGAUGCAGCAACGCCGUGUGCGGGAUGACGGCCUUCGGGUUGUAAACCGCUUUCGCUCAUGACGAAGCUUUGUGUGACGGUAGUGGGUAAAGAAGCACCGGCUAACUACGUG
rnacentral:rRNA from 1 species